GCCACCGAAACGCUUCGCAUCGUUUCGUUUUAUGUGAUUCAGCGCAUAUCAUUUUACGCAAGCAACCCCAAAGCACGCAUGAGCACCAGUGCAGCUCCGUCGAUGAUCACCUGCUUUGGUGUCCUCCGGGAUGAACAGCAGAGGGGAUCUGUGCUGGAGGCGGAGCGCAUCCCGCACUUGAUUCCUGUCCUGGAAGGUCUGCACCGAGGAUAUGCCGCAAAGGCGGCGGAAAAGAGUAGUGUCAUGGCAGUGGCACAUCGGCUACGAGAAGAGCGCGCCCCCGAUUCCGUCAAAGUCCAGCCAAUUCGCUGGCGUGGCGAGACAGAGGAUUCGAUUCGGGCGCAGCUGCAGCCGGUGCGGACGCGACGGCGGGGUGCUAGAGCGCGAAGAGCUGAAUGCACGGGUGCCGCUCGUCACGGGCUAUUACCAAUCUACGCCGCUGAACUGGCGGUCGAGGAGGUACAUGAGUGGCUGAGAGAGCCUCGAGAGGGCUGACUUGGAAAGCGUGCCGGGUACUGCCGCCAGUGUCGUCACAACCGUGUCGGAAGCUCUUCCUGAGCAGCAGUUUCGCGAGGCCUUUCAGCGCUUCGAGAGCGUCCUGCAGAGCCGCGACAGCGGCAGCGGCGCGUCCUCUGCCGUGCACGAAAAUGCAGGGAGUAUUCCUAGCCUCAGCUCCUUGGCGGCAUACAACGAAGUGCCGUUUUCUCCGCCACCGAGGGUGCCUUCAGGGUGCUCUCAAGCGGCACCGAUGGAAGAAAGCACGGCAGACAACGCAUUGGGCUGCACUGUGGCGUACAUCGAUCCAUCGUGUCACAAGUAGGCGGGGGUAGACUCGGCGUUUUCUCUGCCGAUCCGCCAGUAAACGGAGCAGCUUUUCCCGUAGUUGCAGCGGCUUGUUGCGCUCGCCUUCACCAAGGCCGAGGCGGUGUGCAAGAGACUCGGCGUGGUGCAUGGAGUGCGGCUUGAUUUCCCGCAUCUGUAAUGCCCGUGCCUCUGCCAUUGCCCGCUCUGCUCCUCCCUAAGAUUAAUUCACAUGACGAGUACACCUCGACUAGAAGCACCAUGAAACCGCCA